rnacentral:tRNA from 1 species
GGGGCAUUAGCUCAGCUGGGAGAGCGCUACACUGGCAGUGUAGAGGUCAGGAGUUCGAGCCUCCUAUGCUCCA